rnacentral:rRNA from 1 species
UACGUAGGGGGCAAGCGUUGUCCGGAAUCAUUGGGCGUAAAGCGCGUGUAGGCGGUUCGGUAAGUCUGCUGUGGAAGUCCAGGGCUCAACCUGGGAAUGGCAGUGGAUACUGGGUCGCUAGAGUGUGAUAGAGGAUGGUGGAAUUCCCGGUGUAGCGGUGAAAUGCGUAGAGAUCGGGAGGAACAUCAGUGGCGAAGGCGGCCAUCUGGAUCAACACUGACGCUGAGGCACGAAAGCGUGGGGAGCAAACAGG